UACGUAGGGUCCAAGCGUUAAUCGGAAUUACUGGGCGUAAAGCGCACGUAGGCGGAUACUUAAGUUAGGGGUGAAAUCCCAGGGCUCAACCCUGGAACUGCCUUUAAUACUGGGUAUCUUGAGUUCGAGAGAGGUGAGUGGAAUUCCGAGUGUAGAGGUGAAAUUCGUAGAUAUUCGGAGGAACACCAGUGGCGAAGGCGGCUCACUGGCUCGAUACUGACGCUGAGGUGCGAAAGCGUGGGGAGCAAACAGG
rnacentral:rRNA from 1 species